rnacentral:pre_miRNA from 1 species
UGCCCAAAUUUCAAGUAGAGUCGAUUGGUAGGAUCAUCUGACCAUGCUAGUCAAUUCUGCUUCAAGUUUGUGCCC